CCUACGGGAGGCAGCAGUGAGGAAUAUUGGUCAAUGGACGCAAGUCUGAACCAGCCAUGCCGCGUGCAGGAAGACUGCUCUAUGAGUUGUAAACUUCUUUUGUACAAGGGUAAACGCAGGUACGCGUAUCUUUCUGAAAGUAUCUUACGAAUAAGGAUCGGCUAACUCCGUGCCAGCAGCCGCGGUAAUACGGAGGAUUCAAGCGUUAUCCGGAUUUAUUGGGUUUAAAGGGUGCGUAGGUGGGUGGAUAAGUCAGUUGUGAAAGCCCGAGGCUCAACUUCGGAAUUGCCUCUGAUACUGGCAGGCUAGAGAGUAGUUGAGGUAGGCGGAAUGUAUGGUGUAGCGGUGAAAUGCUUAGAGAUCAUAAAGAACACCGAUUGCGAAGGCAGCUUACCAAGCUACUUCUGACGUUGAGGCACGAAAGCGUGGGGAGCAAACAGGAUUAGAUACCCCAGUAGUC
rnacentral:rRNA from 1 species